AACAAGCCUGAGGAACCUUACCCUCCUCACUGUAUUUCAGGCACCGAUGAAUCAAACUUAGUUCCUGCUCUACAGUGGUUAGAAAAAGAACCAAAUGUCACAAUCAGGCGCAAAGAUUGCUUUGAUGGAUUUCUGGGUUCAAUUCAGGAUGAUGGGUCCAAUGUUUUUGUAGACUGGGUGAAGCACAAUCAGAUCAAAACUAUGGUGGUUGUUGGGAUAUGCACAGACAUCUGUGUGCUAGAUUUUGUUAGCUCAACAUUAUCGGCUA
rnacentral:misc_RNA from 1 species